rnacentral:rRNA from 1 species
UGCCUACGGGAGGCAGCAGUGGGGAAUAUUGGACAAUGGGGGGAACCCUGAUGCAGCGACGCCGCGUGGGUGAAGAAGUAUUUCGGUAUGUAAAGCCCUAUCGGCAGGGAAGAAUUUAGACGGUACCUGACUAAGAAGCCCCGGCUAACUACGUGCCAGCAGCCGCGGUAAUACGUAGGGGGCAAGCGUUAUCCGGAUUCACUGGGUGUAAAGGGAGCGUAGACAGCCAUGUAAGCCUGGAGGGAAAGCCCGGGGCCCAACCCCGGGACUGCUCUGGGAACUGUGCGGCUGGGGUGCGGGAGGGG